rnacentral:sRNA from 1 species
AAGGUCGGAGCUUCGGCGGGUCUGCAGAAUAGCUUCGAACAGUAUCCCAGCCUGCCGGAUGUC